rnacentral:rRNA from 1 species
AGCAGCCGCGGUAAUUCCAGCUCCAAUAGCGUAUAUUAAAGUUGUUGCAGUUAAAAAGCUCGUAGUUGAAUUUCGGGAUUGACACAUCGGUCGUGCCUUAAGGGGUAUGAACUGGUGUAGUCAAUUUCUCACCUUCUGGAGAACCGCGAUGCCCUUAAUUGGGUGUCGCGGGGAACCAGGACCUUUACUUUGAAAAAUUAGAGUGUUUAAAGCAGGCAUUUUGCUUGAAUACAUUAGCAUGGAAUAAUAAAAUAGGACGGCAUGAUUCUAUUUUGUUGGUUUCUAGGAUCACCGUAAUGAUUAAUAGGGAUAGUUGGGGGCAUUAGUAUUCAAUUGUCAGAGGUGAAAUUCUUGGAUUUAUUGAAGACUAACUACUGCGAAAGCAUUUGCCAAGGAUGUUUUCAUUAAUCAAGAACGAAAGUUAGGGGAUCGAAGACGAUCAGAUACCGUCGUAGUCUUAACCAUAAACUAUGCCGACUAGGAAUCAGACGAUGUAAUUUUUAUGA